UACAGGGGGUGCAAACGUUGCUCGGAAUCAUUGGGCGUAAAGCGCACGUAGGCGGUUCGUUAUGUCGGAUGUGAAAGCCCUUGGCUUAACCGAGGAAGUGCAUCCGAAACUGGCGAGCUAGAGUACUAAAGAGGAUCGCGGAAUUCCCGGUGUAGAGGUGAAAUUCGUAGAUAUCGGGAGGAACACCGGUGGCGAAGGCGGCGAUCUGGGUCGAUACUGACGCUGAGGUGCGAAAGCGUGGGGAGCAAACAGG
rnacentral:rRNA from 1 species